UACGAAGGUGGCAAGCGUUGUUCGGAUUUACUGGGCGUACAGGGAGCGUAGGCGGUUGGAUAAGCCCUCCGUGAAAUCUCCAGGCUUAACCUGGAAAGUGCAGAGGGGACUGUUCAGCUAGAGGAUGGGAGAGGAGCGCGGAAUUCCCGGUGUAGCGGUGAAAUGCGUAGAGAUCCGGAGGAACACCAGCGGCGAAGGCGGCAUCCUGGACUGGUCCUGACACUCAGGAGCGAAAGCGUGGGGAGCGAGUCCGG
rnacentral:rRNA from 1 species